rnacentral:rRNA from 1 species
CGUAGGUGGAACAUUAUAUUUUCUGUAAAAGACUGAGGAUACACCUCUUUAAUCAGAAUUCACUGGUGUUCUUGGGUGUUAUAGGGGUUUAUUGAAUUCCAAAAGGAAGGGUUAAAUCUGUUGAUAUUUGGAAGACAUUCGAAAGUGAAAACAUUAUCCGAUAUAAUUCGACACUAAGGUACGAAAGUAUGGGGAUAAAUGGGAUUAGAGACCCCAGUAGUCCAUACUUAAACAAUGAGUGUCAACAUCUUUCAGUAAGUAAUUGCUGUCGGGGGUUUAAAGCUAACGCGUAGAACACCGCCUGGGGAAUGUGGCCGCAAGGUUAAACUCAAAGGAAUUGACGGUGACUUAUACAAGG